GUUGUCGGUCAAGGCCUGCCUUUACCACUUGUGGGGUUGGCUGUCAGUGACUUAUGGAUUACCCCGCAUAGUAGGAUAAUCAGUCCUACGUAUGGCGGCACGGUUCAUUUGAGGCUUGAACCCAUGACGAGCAUUUUGUUAAGUCGUACGAGUUGACGACCACGAGACCGAUUGAGGUAUUUUAUGAAGACUGUACGAAGCUCCUAUAAAAAAAAUAAAGAAAAGAGUGUGUAAAAACUACUUGAGUAGGUGGUCAUUCACACUAGGGUUAAUUCUGACUUACUGGGACAGUUGUUUUAUGAAGAUACCCUCUUGAACCUAUGUGGUGCCGUUAACAUCAUUCAAAUUGCCUGCUAUUGCUAUUGCCUAUAGCUAUUGACUGCAUUGGCUCUAUCACAUCUCAUCGAGAGCUUGGUGAGUUCAGACCGAUCAAUUGAGUUGAAAUAAGUUCCAACAUUAAAUCGUAAACCUGCUAAUUUUAUACGACAUUUGUCCACACAAUCAAGUUACACAUGAUGAAGUCGUCAACCAACUCUAAAGUGCUAGCCACAUUAGUUUUGUUACAAAUGAUCUAUUUAGUAUCGUUUUCACAUGCAUAUACAUUCCUGAUUCGUAACACAAAAAGUCAAGUUCAAGAAGAUAGCUGCUACGACGAAUCGCUACAAAUAAAUGUUCCUGUAAAUGAGGAACGACAGCGUCCCGGAAAAUGUGAAUCCAUCAGGUGCAGUGAUGAUUAUUCACUUCAUGGUAUUGGAUGUGGAUUUUUUGCGGUUGGGCCUGGCAUGGUGUUAACUAAGAUUGACUAUUCAAAACCGUUUCCAGAUUGCUGCCCGAAAGCGAUAAAACAGACUGAACAAGACUUGUUUUAAAAACAAAACAAACGCAACGCUGAAACGUGACAUGAUUUUGAUAAUUUGAUAUGAAAUGAUUCCAUUAUAAUAAAAAAAUAAAACGAUUUAACUCAAGUUGGCUAAAAAA